AAGUCGUAACAAGGUUUCCGUAGGUGAACCUGCGGAAGGAUCAUUACCGAGUUUAUGGUUGUCCGGUCUCAGUACCGUUCGACUUAACCUCCCAACCCUUUGUUUAUUUGACUACAUUGUUGCUUCGGUGAACCGGCUACUCCUGUAAAAAGUUGUCGGCCGCCGGUGGGACGCAAGUCUCGCUGGAAAGUUCUGAGUUCACCGAUGGCUCAAAUCAAAAUUCUUGUCCAGAAACGUGUCGUCUAAAAAUUUCUUUGAUAUCAAUCAAAAACAAAACUUUCAACAACGGAUCUCUUGGUUCUG
rnacentral:misc_RNA from 1 species